AUAUAUUCACCUGUUUAUCAAAAACAUGUCUUUUUGUAUUUAAUUUAAAGUCUAACCUGCCCACUGAUAGAUAUUAAAGGGCCGCAGUAUUUUGACUGUGCGAAGGUAGCAUAAUCAGUAGUCUUUUAAUUGAAGGCUUGUAUGAAUGGUUGAAUGAGAUAUAU
rnacentral:ncRNA from 1 species